rnacentral:misc_RNA from 1 species
GGUUUUUGAGAUUCAAGUGCACCUGCAGAAAAUGCAUGGAUUCAGUUCCUAAAUGAAUUAAGUAUCCAAAAAAACACAGUAUUGUACUACAAAUAACAAAUAAAGCAUUAAAGACAGAAGAAGUGGCAUGAUUAACUUAAAAGUUGAUACCAGGAAUGAAGAAUCCUAACUGCAACAAAAUUGCUCAGCUUGUGUUUGGACAGGUGAAGAUUGGAAUUGGGCUUUGGAUUUGAAUGAGUUCUAUGAUAGAUAACAUUUAUUUAGUUGAAACUUUUCAUGAAUGGAGAUCAGAUUCAUGAAUACUUGUUUGUGGAUAAACUGGAAACAACUAUAUGGACAUGGUAAGGGAACCAAAAAAAUAUAUAUACAUGGACAAUAACCACCAUUGAAUAAUUUGAC